GAGGGUAUAGCUCAGUGGUAGAGUGCAUGCUUAGCAUGCAUGAGGUUCUGGGUUCAAUCCCUGGUACCUCCA
rnacentral:tRNA from 1 species